rnacentral:lncRNA from 1 species
GUCCUUAGGCUGAUGCCUUGGCAGCCUUCACACCGCAUGGGGCCGCCUGCAAUGGUCAGAGCUCCAUGGACUGCCUCCCAAGCAGCCCAGGCACAGGCGCCUCCGCCAGCCCCUCCCUGUGCAGUGUCAACAGGCCGAGGUGAGCAUGGCCGUGAAGGGGCCCCCAGCCCAUCCAGGGCCCCCGUUCCUGGGAGGCCCCAUGCCGUCCCACGUGGACUAUGGGUCGCCGCCGCCACCACUGCUCUGCAGAUCCUUCGGGCCUCGGCCGAUGUCUCCUAGGCCACCGCAACCAUUCGUUGCACGCAUGGGCCCACCACUGGGCUUAAGAGACUAUGCGCCCGGCAUGCUGCCCGGACGCCACGACCUGCCGCUACAUCCCCGCGAGUUCUUGCCUGGACCUGUGCCAUUCAGGCCUCCAGGCCCGCUCGGCGCCCGAGCAUAUUUCAUUUCGGAUCUGCGAAUGCCACCCGCUGGACUCCAAGACUACCGACCACCACCUGCCGGGCCCCAGGAUAACCCACCGAUGCCUGCCGGGCCCCAGGACAACCCACCACCGCCUGCUGGGCGCCAGGCCUACCCACCACCACGUGCCGGGCACCAGCACUACCCACCACCGCCUGCCAGGCCCCAGGACUACCAACCACCAAGUGCCGGGCUCCAGGACUACCCACCGCCGCCUGCCCGGCCCCACGACUACCCACCGCCGCCUGCGGGGGUCCCAGGAAAACCCACCACCAAGUGCCGGGCCUCAGGACCAUGGAUGGCCGCCCUCUGCGAGCCUAAACUUCGCAUGCUGUGACAUUCCCAGAGCCGACUUCGGUGAGCCUCUCCAGGGCCUCGAGUCCUGGGACUCCAUGACAGCAUGCUGCAUUGCCCCGA